CCGAGCUCCGCCAUGGAGUUCCAUGGCCCGCCGCUGAUGGAGACGGCGGCGAGGUGGCCUUCACCGAUCUCCUCAACGCCAGCGACAUCUAGGCGGAGGGGAUACGAGCAGCGCGUGGAUCUGGGCAACCUCCAAGGAUAGCGAGGCAGAGAGGGAAGGAUGAGGAGCUCCGAAAUGGCCCCACAACAGCAGAGUUGAAGCAUUAAGGUCUACAACAAAUACAGGCUCUUUUCUGUAUCACAAGAGAAGCUUAUCCGUAUUCCGGAAACGUCGGUUCUACUUUCUUAUGUGACCUCCAUCUCUCCAGCUAUGGAGCUAAUUUAAUAGGCCUCAAUUAAAUAACGAGGGAAGGUGAUUUCAAACAGUACCCCACUGUAAGAGUUUCAUUGGAUCAGAGUUUAUUUCAGUAUAACCAUGGAUAUGAGAUUAUUUUCUGUAUUUGUUAUUUGCAGUGACUUUCCCUAUGUUAUUCUUGAAUGUGGCUACAGAGGAGCUGAAGAUGCGAUAUGUCAUGUCGCUGCAAGAUAGCUGUUUCGUCUUCAGAUUUUCUGUCAGUGUAAUUAUUGGGUAUGACAGGCUAGCAACUAAAUCUCUGUAUGAAAGGGAAUCUGACACCCAUAAACCCGCAGGUUUGGACUGUUUCUCUAACUGCGACACUCGCCCGCCUCCAUCUCCAGUCGCCCAUGCACACAACCAGUCGACAAUUCAUCCAAGCAAGUGAUUCCAUAAAUUUCAAAUCUAGGAUGAGGCAUAUAAUAAUGCUCAGUAUUCAGGCAUAUGAAACUGCAUCUUACGCAUGUGAGCCAUUCAAAGCUGAUACAAGGUGAGCCACGCAAAACUGGAAUGUCUCUUUCGUUUGCUGAUACAUUCACUAAACUGGUGAUAAGCUUUCCUCAUACAAGUGGUAAUGUAAGGUAAACCUGAUUUAGAUACAUCACUUCUGAGGUAUUUUUUCUUAAAUAACAUGAGACAACAACCUUAGAAUUUAGUCUAGACAUUACUUUUGAUUCACUUCCAAUAUUUUUGGAUUAUUUUCUUUCACAAAUGGAAGUGCGUGCCAAUUCCUUUUAAUUAAUACAUAUUGUCUCUACAUGGUAGAACGGUAUUUAUUUUUGGAAUAUAUACUGUUCUUCGUGCUCUUGAUUCCAGCAAAUUUUUCCUUCCUUUUAGUUUGUUUUGCGCAUCUUUCCUUAUAGGUUUGUACUUUGUCUCGGAAGUUGUCUGGUUUAAGUUACCAUCAAAAGUUAUUAUCAAUCCUCCAUUUCCCCUUAAUCAUGUAUGAUUAUAGCCUUUCGCAUGUGGCACUGAAGAUGAUGGUUUAUAAACCUUAUGGAUCGACAAUUAUAUGUAAUUGUGUUUCUGUAAGCCAGGGCUUCUAAAUGAUCUGGCGCAAACAAUAAUUUUUUUUUCAACCGGAUGUUUGGUUUAUUGUACAUUUAUAAUAUUUUCUCAUUCUUUUUUUUUCUUAGAAAAGGUUCUCAGUUUUUAUAAACUAUGGAUCAACAGUUAUUUAUGUGUUUCUGUACAUCGGGCUUCUAGAUGAUCUUCCCUAGAGAAUAAUUUUUGUUCCAGCUUGAUGUUUAGUUAAUUGUGCAUUUAUAAUAGUUUUUCAUCCUUUUUAGUAAAUGUUCUCAAUAUUUCGGCUGAAUGUUUGGUGUUGGCCUGUGGGGAUGAAAGCAGUUGGGACAGGGUUGAGAACUAGGAGGAACUUGUUUUUUAGUAUUUCUCAGAUAUGUCCAUAUCUCGGCCAUUUCUUCUUAAAUGUAUGUUGGUCCUUCUACAUUAAAAUCACUAUUCACUAUUAUUACUGACACCACCACCUAUGAGAUAUGUCGGUUUGCAGGAGCUUCCUCUUCAUUCACCUAGGUGGCGACAAAGUUCAUUUCCAAUGAUUUAUGUAGCGUAUUGUUAUACGUUUGGUAUUUAUCUGAGAAGUUACGGUUUCAAAUUUUUACUUGGGUUUUCAUGCCUCAAAAUUAAGUUUAGAGAAGGAAUUUGACACCAUUGUAUACUAUUUAGUUGAUACCUACGAGAAAAGGAAUUUGGCACCUUUGGUAUGCAACAUGUAAUGAAUUUACAUGUUUACUGUUUAGUUGAAAGCUUAGUAUUAUCAAUCCUAAUAGAAUACACUUAGUCCUAUUUCUUCUAAUUAUACUUAUGAUAUU